rnacentral:rRNA from 1 species
UGGCUCAGAGCGAACGCUGGCGGCAGGCUUAACACAUGCAAGUCGAGCGGGCGUAGCAAUACGUCAGCGGCAGACGGGUGAGUAACGCGUGGGAACAUACCUUUGGUUCGGAACAACACAGGGAAACUUGUGCUAAUACCGGAUAAGCCCUUACGGGGAAAGAUUUAUCGCCGAAAGAUUGGCCCGCGUCUGAUUAGCUAGUUGGUGAGGUAACGGCUCACCAAGGCGACGAUCAGUAGCUGGUCUGAGAGGAUGAUCAGCCACAUUGGGACUGAGACACGGCCCAAACUCCUACGGGAGGCAGCAGUGGGGAAUAUUGGACAAUGGGCGCAAGCCUGAUCCAGCCCAUGCCGCGUGAGUGAUGAAGGCCCUAGGGUUGUAAAGCUCUUUUGUGCGGGAAGAUAAUGACGGUACCGCAAGAAUAAGCCCCGGCUAACUUCGUGCCAGCAGCAGC